UUCUGUCUUAGAGCACACACACUGAGGAUAGAGAGAAGGUGGCCAUGUACAAGACAAGAAGAGAGUCCUCGCCAGAAAUGGACUCAGCUGGCACCUGGAUCUUGGACUUUCCAUCUUCAAGAACUGAAGCCAACUACCCUCUGGGAAGCGUACGCAGCAGCCUGAUGGAGAGAUCCACACGAUGGUUUUGUGAACAGUCAUCAAGGAAUGGAAGUCUCCAGAAACAGCACAUGAAUCACAUCAGCAAGUGCAGACCAUUCUAUGUUUAAAAUAUAUCCCAACCUGUCCAUCUCUUCUUAUCACCUCUACCAACACUGCAGUCCAAGACAUCAUCUUCUGUAGCCUGGACUAUGGGUGGAGUCUCCUGCUUUGCACAUCUACACAGAAGAAGAUGGACAACUCCAAGCCGAUGGACAACUGCAAGCCAGCCUCCAGCCAGAAGCAUGGAGUAUCACACUCUCAACCCCAUGUAGUCUGCCUCGUCCUACAAUUCCAGCUGCAUCUGGCUUUACUCUUCUCUGUGCUUACUCCUUUCAGACCUUUUUUUUUUUUUUUUUUUUUUCAGUUUCUGUAAUGUGUGCAUUUCCUAGAUCGUGCUCCUUUGAAAUGACUUAGGGGCAAAUUGGUGGUGGGAGGCAGGCUGGUGAUGUGAAAGGAAUGAGGGCAUGAGAAGAAUGAGGAAGAAAAGAAAGGGAAAACUCAGAGAGUGCAUUUUUGGAGAUUGGUGUUCCGGACAAUGUGUCCAGGACCUCUGAGAAGUAUACAGAACACCUCUCAGAGAUGUUAACCUGAAGGAGGGUGGCUGGGGCAUUUGUUUACCAGCUCUUGUCCCCCCCCCCCCCGGUUGAGGGUUGCCUGGCAGGGGGUGGGAGUGGGGAAGAGCGUCAAUACUCCUGCAUUUCUGGGCUGUAUUUGUGCCACUGUCAGAGAAAGCAGAAAGAUGCUCAGAGGCUUGCAGUGGGUGGAUAUCAGCUGGAGGUGAGUCUGACUGUCCACCACAGCUUUGGCUGAAAUUGAGGAGGGCUGAGGGGAGGGAACGUGGGGCACCAGAUGUGUCUCCAGCUCCAAGAUCUUCUUGCACUGGUGACUUUGCGCAUGCUAGUCCUUCCGCUGGCUUUUUCCUCCUCCCUCCUCUGUGAGUAGCUGAAUCCCUUCUACAGCCUUGGGUCUCACCUUGCCACCAUGUCUUCAGAGAUGCCUUCUCCUGUCUCCCAGUCUACAUCGUGUCUCCUUAGCGAGUCUUUCUCAUAGCACCUGCAGUGUAUGUGCCAGGAGUCAUGAUUCUGUAUUUGUGUGUUCUAGGUUGCAUCUGUCAUUCACACAGGGCUGUCAUUCUCUGACAUUUUUGUUUAUCUCUGUACACCCAGUGCCUAGCAGUCCAUCUGCAACACAGUAGGUGUGCAACCGAUGAGUAAAUGAGGACAGAUUAUAAACCUAAACAUGUAACCGAGAAACCUGUCUCGAGUC